rnacentral:lncRNA from 1 species
AACCAUGCUAUAAGGUACAUGAGUUGUUCCCAUUCAACCAUGCUAUAAGGUACAUGAGUUGUUAGAACACUACACAAAUUGCAUUCUCGAAUGUCAUUUUGCCUUGAUAGCAGGAUUUUGGUAUGGAGGUGAACUAGAUCAAGCAAGAUUUCUUAAAUACUGCAUAAAGAUAUAUUCAGAGCAAAGAACUCUUUGAAAUUAUGACAUGAAAGUAAAUUAAUAUACAAAUUUCAUGUGUAAACUUUUACAUGCCGAUACUGGGAUUCAUACAGAAGUGACUUUGGGCAACAACGUCAGCCAUUGCUGGAUCAAGAACACAAGCUUUCAUGCUGCGAAAUUUUGAAUAAUUGGAGAGUUUGAAAAGCUCAUUGUGCCAAACAGCGCGAUGUCUCAAGGAAGCUGUAUGUAUAUGGCUUCUGCUGUUCGCCUUCAUGAAAAAGGCCACCAGUUUCUUCAAGUUCUUCCUGCAUUUGAUGAAUCUCGCCUUGGCAUUACCAGUUACGCUCAUUUCCCUGUUCUUGCUCAAAAGAAAUGGAGAUGAGUAGCUUUAUGGUGUGAAGAAAAAGCAGUUCAAAUCAC